AGAAGGGGCCUGGGGACUGGCCCGUGUCAUCGAUGGAGUCAUGGGCACUGGUAGUUUUACUGCAGCGCACCCACCCUGCUUGUCCCCUGUGCCGUGUGCCUUCUCUUAGGGACGCCAUUGCAAGAAGAAGCAUGCCUCCAAGAGACAAGAGGACAGAACAAGACACAAUAAGGCAAAAGCUCUCAUAUGGAGGGUGGACAGGGCAACCCAAGAGGAGGAAAAAAGUCCCAAGAGCAGUCUUCUCUUCAGAAGCUUUGAUGGAGACUGUGGGUGCAUUCGCGGUCCCAGCUGGAGGCUGCUCUUUUGGGAUGUUUGGAGGAUGGGUCAGCUUUCCAGUUGUAAAAGCAUUUGUUGACUUAUUUAGUAUGAGUUCGCGUUCUUUUUUCUGCAAAAUAUAAGAAGGUAGAGAUAUGUCACCUUUCAGCUCCUGGAUAAGGUCUCACAGUUUGUCUUCAAAAGAGACAAUGAACAUGAACUCCGUGCUGGGAGAGGACAGGCCUCUUGCAAGCCUAGAAUCCCGCAGCAGAUAGGUGUGGGUGAGCACGAGUCCUUAUUGAUGUUAGUGUUUAGUAUUUCUCAGGAACCUACUGUAAACUGAAUUAAGAUCACUGUAACAAUCAUUUCUUUAUUUAAGUGAGCCCUUGAGAGUGAAUACUCUAUGCAGUUUGCUUUUUUUUAUUAGGUAUUUAUUUCAUUUACAUUUCCAAUGCUAUCCCAAAAGUCCCCCACAUGCUCUCCCACCCACUCCCCCAACCGCCCACUCCCACUUCUUGGCCCUGGCGUUCUCCUAUACUGAGGCAUAUAAAGUUUGCACGACCAAUGGACCUCUCUUUCCACUAGGCCAUCUUUGAUACAUAUGCAGCUAGAGACAUGAGAAACAUUAUAAAGAAUGACCUUUAGAGAAUAAUUAAAGGGAGAGUGCUUUGAAAUGCUGACUACAGUAAGAAGUCCUUGGUGCAAGGUGUAUCUCAAAAAGGGCUCCCAAGAGUCAGCCAUGCAUCUGCUUUCAACAGCACAAUGAAAAUGUCUUUUAUUGUUGAGUAUCAUUUCUUUUCAGAAUGUAUAAUUAUGUCUUUUUGAUGGUCAUAUGAGAGGUCUCCAGUUGGGACUAUUCUGGAUUCAGCAAAUGUCUUGUGUAUGCUGUCUUGUGUUUUGGUUUGCUUCUUUGUUUUAAUUGUAUAUGGAAUUCUAUAACAGGUUAUAAACUUAAUGUGUAAAAAUCAGAACUGUGGUUACAUUUAGAGAGGUGAGAACACAAGCUGUUUAGAGAUAUAGAGAGUUUCCUAAUUAUUAAUGAUGUGAUAAUUUUGGGGACACAGGAGUGCGUAUUUGCAGGAACUAAACAAAGAUAUGCCUGUUUGUGUACUUUAUGUUGGAUAAAUUUUCCUCCAAGUGAAUUAAAUAAAUAACUCACACU
ensembl:antisense Gm9962 predicted gene 9962